rnacentral:rRNA from 1 species
GAUGAACGCUAGCGGGAGGCUUAACACAUGCAAGUCGUGGGGCAGCAUUAGGUAGCAAUACUUAGAUGGCGACCGGCGCACGGGUGAGUAACGCGUAUGCAACCUACCCAGUACAGGGGGAUAGCCCGGAGAAAUUCGGAUUAAUACCCCAUAAUGAUAUAUAGAGGCAUCUUUUUAUAUUUAAAGCUUCGGCGGUACUGGAUGGGCAUGCGUAAGAUUAGCUAGUUGGUAGGGUAACGGCCUACCAAGGCUCCGAUCUUUAGGGGUCCUGAGAGGGUGAUCCCCGACACUGGUACUGAGACACGGACCAGACUCCUACGGGAGGCAGCAGUGAGGAAUAUUGGUCAAUGGGCGCAAGCCUGAACCAGCCAUCCCGCGUGAAGGAAGAAUGCGCUAUGCGUUGUAAACUUCUUUUCCGGAGGAAUAAAAUCUUGUACGCGUACAGGACUGAAGGUACUCCGGGAAUAAGCAUCGGCUAACUCCGUGCCAGCCGCCGCGGUAACAC